rnacentral:lncRNA from 12 species
GCAGGGGGAGCCGCGCCCGCCUCCUGCUGUCUGCCGCUCAGAGUGACAGCGCGGCUGCCCAAUCGGAAGCGUGCGCCCGGGAGAGGCGGGCCCACAUGCGGCAGCGCUGGCCUAUGGGCUUCCUCUGGGGCCAGAUUGACAGGGCAACCGCCCAAUGGCCGAGAGAGCUGUGCGGGUGGGCGGGAGAGUGCGCGGUGAUUGACAGCUGGGUAACCAUGGCAACGCGGGGGGGCGAAGGCAAGAGCCGCAGUAGGCUCGGCUGGGCCGGGCCGCGGAGGGGCUCAUUUCAAUAUGAUUUGCAUAUAGACGUGGGGAGGAAACCCCCAGGUGGCGGAAAAAUUGAGGCAACAAUGAACAGGAUGAAAAUUCAAGAAGAAAACACAGAUUCUCAGACUACAGGAUGCUCUAACAGCUCCCACUGUAACGCGAUGGAGAUCCCCAUGUGGAAUGCUGAUUGUUGUCUGGCACACCCAGAGCACACCAAGCGUGGGUGA